rnacentral:sRNA from 1 species
UUUUAGCCCAGAUGGAAACGGCAUCCUUUUUAUCUUGUCUCGUUCUUAAAACGAGACAAGAUAAAAAGAUAUAGUGUACAGCUGGAAAUAGC